UACGUAGGGGGCAAGCGUUGUCCGGAUUUACUGGGCAUAAAGAGCGCGCAGGCGGUCGUUCAAGUCGCGUGUGAAAGCCCCCGGCUCAACUGGGGAGGGUCACGCGAUACUGAUCGACUGGAAGGCAGGAGAGGGUAGUGGAAUUCCCGGUGUAGUGGUGAAAUGCGUAGAUAUCGGGAGGAACACCAGUGGCGAAGGCGACUACCUGGCCUGUUCUUGACGCUGAGGCGCGAAAGCUAGGGGAGCAAACGGG
rnacentral:rRNA from 1 species